UGUGUACAUACAGUGUCAAUAGAACGCUGUAUAUAAACAAAGUGAGCAAAAUAGGUUUUAUGCAUUUUGUUACGGAUUUUUUUGGCAAAGGAAAUUUGUGCAUUAUGAAAAUGGAGGUUUCGGCACCCGGAUGCCCUCCCAGCUUCCCAUAAAUACAUUCCCAGCCUGCCUACCAACACGCACAUACACUCACAACGAGAAUGCUGUCGUGUCCGGAUGGGGAACCAUAUCGGAAAGCGGCUCGACGUCCACCGUUCUCCGGUAUGUCUGGAAGCCCUUUUUUAAGCCUGGCAGAAUGUGAAAAGACCGGAAAUAAAGGCUCCCUGGACGCCACCAUGUUGUGCGCCGAGGAAACUGGCAAAGACGCUUGCCAGGGUGACUCUGGCGGACCUUUGGUUGCUCCCAGAAGCGGUUCAUGGGAACUCGUUGGU